rnacentral:rRNA from 1 species
GACGAACGCUGGCGGCGUGCUUAACACAUGCAAGUCGAACGGAAAGGCCCUGCUUUUGUGGGGUGCUCGAGUGGCGAACGGGUGAGUAACACGUGAGUAACCUGCCCUUGACUUUGGGAUAACUUCAGGAAACUGGGACUAAUACCGGAUAGGAGCUCCUGCUGCAUGGUGGGGGUUGGAAAGUUUCGGCGGUUGGGGAUGGACUCGCGGCUUAUCAGCUUGUUGGUGGGGUAGUGGCUUACCAAGGCUUUGACGGGUAGCCGGCCUGAGAGGGUGACCGGCCACAUUGGGACUGAGAUACGGCCCAGACUCCUACGGGAGGCAGCAGUGGGGAAUAUUGCACAAUGGGCGGAAGUCUGAUGCAGCAACGCCGCGUGCGGGAUGACGGCCUUCGGGUUGUAAACCGCUUUCGCCUGUGACGAAGCGUGAGUGACGGUAAUGGGUAAAGAAGCACCGGCUAACUACGUGCCAGCAGCCGCGGUGAUACGUAGGGUGCGAGCGUUGUCCGGAUUUAUUGGGCGUAAAGGGCUCGUAGGUGGUUGAUCGCGUCGGAAGUGUAAUCUUGGGGCUUAACCCUGAGCGUGCUUUCGAUACGGGUUGACUUGAGGAAGGUAGGGGAGAAUGGAAUUCCUGGUGGAGCGGUGGAAUGCGCAGAUAUCAGGAGGAACACCAGUGGCGAAGGCGGUUCUCUGGGCCUUUCCUGACGCUGAGGAGCGAAAGCGUGGGGAGCGAACAGGCUUAGAUACCCUGGUAGUCCACGCUGUAAACGGUGGGUACUAGGUGUGGGGUCCAUUCCACGGGUUCCGUGCCGUAGCUAACGCUUUAAGUACCCCGCCUGGGGAGUACGGCCGCAAGGCUAAAACUCAAAGGAAUUGACGGGGCCCCGCACAAGCGGCGGAGCAUGCGGAUUAAUUCGAUGCAACGCGUAGAACCUUACCUGGGUUUGACAUGGAUCGGGAGCGCUCAGAGAUGGGUGUGCCUCUUUUGGGGUCGGUUCACAGGUGGUGCAUGGCUGUCGUCAACUCGUGUCGUGAGAUGUUGGGUUGAGUCCCGCAACGAGCGCAACCCUUGUUCACUGUUGCCAGCACGUUAUGGUGGGGACUCAGUGGAGACCGCCGGGGUCAACUCGGAGGAAGGUGGGGAUGACGUCAAGUCAUCAUGCCCCUUAUGUCCAGGGCUUCACGCAUGCUACAAUGGCUGGUACAGAGAGUGGCGAGCCUGUGAGGGUGAGCGAAUCUCGGAAAGCCGGUCUCAGUUCGGAUUGGGGUCUGCAACUCGACCUCAUGAAGUCGGAGUCGCUAGUAAUCGCAGAUCAGCAACGCUGCGGUGAAUACGUUCCCGGGGCU